CGUCAAAUUUGCGGGAAAUACGGAAGUCGUGAACAGCAACAUGGCAAAUUUAAAGGGAAAUGCUCAAAGUGUUGUAUUCUCCUCGCUUUCUUUAAAAUACAUAUUUUCCUCUGAGACACUGUCACAGCUCCUAUCAAGCGGCAGAACAGACACAGUUUUUGUAAUGAACCGGCCUGUAUGCCAAAGUAUAACAUUUGCAAUCAAGCCUAGCCUGCCGAGGGCAGUAUUACACUUCCCAGUGUAUGGCCUGUCGGGGUUUCAUUACGGAGAACAAGAACAAGAAGAUGAGGGGCAAUGAACUGUACCAGGCAGGGUGGAGACACUAUCAUCUACCAGGAUCCGCUUGGAUGUCUCUGGAAACUAUGAGGCACAGAGUCAGUAAUGAGGCUGUGGAUUCCCGGCCAGGGUUUAAAGUUGACUUUGCUGUGUAUGAUCUGGACUAAAGACUUUGGAUGUACACAGAGAAACAGUCCAUGAGGAGACCAAAAUAAGUUUUAUUCAAUCCAUUGUAUCAUAAUCAACGGUCAUUUUACAACUAUAAAGCUGAAAUUAAUGUCUGUGAAAGUGUCCAAAACAAGUGCACUAAUAAUAAUAAUAUUUGAAUAAAGUUUUAAAUAAAAAAGAAAAUCCAUCCUCA